GAGGUUUUAGCUUAAUUAAAGCGUCUGAGUUGCAAUCAGGAGAUGUGAACUAGAAUUUUACAAGUCUU
rnacentral:tRNA from 1 species